AUUGAACGCUGGCGGCAGGCCUAACACAUGCAAGUCGAACGAGUGGCGGACGGGUGAGUAAUGCUUGGGAAUCUAGCUUAUGGAGGGGGAUAACUACUGGAAACUGUAGCUAAUACCGCAUACCAUAGGAUGAGCCCAAGUGGGAUUAGGUUGUUGGGGGGGUAAAGGCUCACCAAGCCGACGAUCCCUAGCUGGUCUGAGAGGAUGACCAGCAACACUGGAACUGAGACACGGCCCAGACUCCUACGGGAGGCAGCAGUGGGGAAUAUUGCACAAUGGGGGCAACCCUGAUGCAGCCAUGCCGCGUGAAUGAAGAAGGCCUUCGGGUUGUAAAGUACUUUCGGUAGCGAGGCGUUAACUACAGAAGAAGCACCGGCUAACUCCGUGCCAGCAGCCGCGGUAAUUC
rnacentral:rRNA from 1 species